rnacentral:rRNA from 1 species
UACGUAGGGUGCGAGCGUUAAUCGGAAUUACUGGGCGUAAAGCGUGCGCAGGCGGUUCGUUAUGUCCGAUGUGAAAGCCCCGAGCUUAACUUGGGAAUGGCAUUGGAAACUGGCGGGCUGGAGUGCGGCAGAGGGGGGUGGGAAUUCCACGUGUAGCAGUGAAAUGCGUAGAGAUGUGGAGGAACACCGAUGGCGAAGGCAGCCCCCUGGGCCGACACUGACGCUCAGGCACGAAAGCGUGGGGAGCAAACAGG